AUUGAACGCUGGCGGCAUGCUUUACACAUGCAAGUCGAACGGCAGCGCGGGGGCAACCCUGGCGGCGAGUGGCGAACGGGUGAGUAAUGCAUCGGAACGUAUCCUGUAAUGGGGGAUAACGUAGCGAAAGUUACGCUAAUACCGCAUACGCUCGAGAGAGGAAAGUGGGGAUCGCAAGACCUCACGUUAUAGGAGCGGCCGAUGUCCGAUUAGCUAGUUGGUGGGUAAAGGCCUACCAAGGCGACGAUCGGUAGCUGGUCUGAGAGGAUGAUCAGCCACACUGGGACUGAGACACGGCCCAGACUCCUACGGGAGGCAGCAGUGGGGAAUUUUGGACAAUGGGCGAAAGCCUGAUCCAGCCAUGCCGCGUGCGGGAAGAAGGCCUCGG
rnacentral:rRNA from 1 species